AAAGGAAUAGACGGGGGCCCGCACAAGCGGUGGAGCAUGUGGUUUAAUUCGAUGCAACGCGAAGAACCUUACCUGGUCUUGACAUCCACGGAAGUUUUCAGAGAUGAGAAUGUGCCUUCGGGAACCGUGAGACAGGUGCUGCAUGGCUGUCGUCAGCUCGUGUUGUGAAAUGUUGGGUUAAGUCCCGCAACGAGCGCAACCCUUAUCCUUUGUUGCCAGCGGUCCGGCCGGGAACUCAAAGGAGACUGCCAGUGAUAAACUGGAGGAAGGUGGGGAUGACGUCAAGUCAUCAUGGCCCUUACGACCAGGGCUACACACGUGCUACAAUGGCGCAUACAAAGAGAAGCGACCUCGCGAGAGCAAGCGGACCUCAUAAAGUGCGUCGUAGUCCGGAUUGGAGUCUGCAACUCGACUCCAUGAAGUCGGAAUCGCUAGUAAUCGUGGAUCAGAAUGCCACGGUGAAUACGUUCCCGGGCCUUGUACACACCGCCCGU
rnacentral:rRNA from 1 species